rnacentral:rRNA from 1 species
UACGGGGGGAGCAAGCGUUGUUCGGAUUUACUGGGCGUAAAGGGCGCGUAGGCGGCGCAACAAGUCACUUGUGAAAUCUCCGGGCUUAACCCGGAGCGGCCAAGUGAUACUGUCGUGCUAGAGUGCGGAAGGGGCUACUGGAAUUCUCGGUGUAGCGGUGAAAUGCGUAGAGAUGCGGAGGAACACCGAUGGCGAAGGCAGCCCCCUGGGCCAAUACUGACGCUCAGGCACGAAAGCGUGGGGAGCAAACAGG